AGAAUGUUAGAUUUAGUUUGCUAGAGAUACAACUGCAGGAGAUGUGAAGAGUGCUUGUUUAUCAACUGGUCCAUUUCAGUGACUUCCUCAACUCCUAAGUUAGAGAGCCCUUACUUAGUAACCUGGAUGCCUGUCUCCUUUCAGGUAGGUGAGGGACAGAGUGGAAGGGACUCCAUCAUGGAAGCAUGCCCAGAAUUCUUCCAAAGAUGGAGAAUCCCACUUCUGCCAUGACCAGCCACAGUCUGUUUAGGAGACUUUACCAGA
rnacentral:lncRNA from 1 species